GACAGAGGUGCCGAGCGUUAGGCGGAAUCACUGGGCUUAAAGCGUGUGUAGGCGGGCCGUUAAGUAUCUUGUGAAAUCCCCCGGCUCAACCGGGGAAUGGCUGGAUAUACUGGCGGUCUUGAGCAGUUCAGGGGCAGAUGGAACAGACGGUGGAGCGGUGAAAUGCGUAGAUAUCGUCUGGAACGCCAAAGGUGAAGACAGUCUGCUGGGAACUUGCUGACGCUGAGACACGAAAGCCAGGGGAGCGAACGGG
rnacentral:rRNA from 1 species